GUGUGAAUCGUGUGCAAAGUUGUCACGAGCGACAUGUGCAGUACAUGCUAGUUUGCUUUUAUUUUGCAAAGAAGAGACUACAAAGUUUCGAAACGAGAGAGGAGACGAACGGAAAACAUUUGGUGAAGGGAAAUAUGGCGGCUGCUUUCUCUUCCGCAUAAUUUAUU